rnacentral:rRNA from 1 species
AUAACGGAGGAAAGAAACCAACAGGGAUUGCCUCAGUAACGGCGAGUGAAGCGGCAACAGCUCAAAUUUGAAAUCUGGCCCCUUCGGGGUCCGAGUUGUAAUUUGCAGAGGGUGCUUUUGGUGUUGGCCGUGGUCUAAGUUCCUUGGAACAGGACGUCACAGAGGGUGAGAAUCCCGUACGUGGCCGCCGGCCCUCGCCUUGUAAAGCCCCUUCGACGAGUCGAGUUGUUUGGGAAUGCAGCUCUAAAUGGGAGGUAAAUUUCUUCUAAAGCUAAAUACCCGCCAGAGACCGAUAGCGCACAAGUAGAGUGAUCGAAAGAUGAAAAGCACUUUGGAAAGAGAGUGAAAAAGCACGUGAAAUUGUUGAAAGGGAAGCGCUUGCGGCCAGACGUGCCCGCGGUUGUUCAUCUGGGCUCUCGCCCGGUGCACUCCUCCGCGGGCAGGCCAGCAUCAGUUUGGGCGGUCGGACAAAGGUCUCUAUCACGUACCACCCCUCGGGGUGGCCUUAUAGGGGAGACGCAACACGGCCAGCCUGGACUGAGGUUCCGCGCAUCUGCUAGGAUGCUGGCGUAAUGGCAGCAAGCGGCCCGUCUUGAAACACGGACCAAGGAGUCUAACAUCUAUGCGAGUGUUUGGGUGUCAAGCCCGAGCGCGUAAUGAAAGUGAACGGAGGUGGGAACCCCUCGGGGCGCACCAUCGACCGAUCCUGAUGUCUUCGGAUGGAUUUGAGUAAGAGCAUAGCUGUUGGGACCCGAAAGAUGGUGAACUAUGCCUGAAUAGGGUGAAGCCAGAGGAAACUCUGGUGGAGGCUCGCAGCGGUUCUGACGUGCAAAUCGAUCGUCAAAUUUGGGCAUAG